rnacentral:rRNA from 1 species
CGGCGGACGGGUGAGUAACACGUGGAUAACCUACCUAUAAGACUGGGAUAACUUCGGGAAACCGGAGCUAAUACCGGAUAAUAUAUUGAACCGCAUGGUUCAAUAGUGAAAGACGGUUUUGCUGUCACUUAUAGAUGGAUCCGCGCCGCAUUAGCUAGUUGGUAAGGUAACGGCUUACCAAGGCAACGAUGCGUAGCCGACCUGAGAGGGUGAUCGGCCACACUGGAACUGAGACACGGUCCAGACUCCUACGGGAGGCAGCAGCU